AUUGAACGCUGGCGGCAUGCCUUACACAUGCAAGUCGAACGGUAACGCGGGGCAACCUGGCGACGAGUGGCGAACGGGUGAGUAAUGCAUCGGAACGUGCCCAGUAGUGGGGGAUAACUGCUCGAAAGAGCAGCUAAUACCGCAUACGACCUGAGGGUGAAAGCGGGGGAUCGCAAGACCUCGCGCUAUUGGAGCGGCCGAUGUCAGAUUAGGUAGUUGGUGGGGUAAAGGCCCACCAAGCCAACGAUCUGUAGCUAGUCUGAGAGGACGACCAGCCACACUGGGACUGAGACACGGCCCAGACUCCUACGGGAGGCAGCAGUGGGGAAUUUUGGACAAUGGACGCAAGUCUGAUCCAGCCAUGCCGCGUGCGCGAAGAAGGCCUUCGGGUUGUAAACCGCUUUUGUCAGGGAAGAAACGCUCUGGGUUAGUACCUCGGGGUAAUGACGGUACCUGAAGAAUAAGCACCGGCUAACUACGUGCCAGCCGCCGCAGUAAAAC
rnacentral:rRNA from 1 species